GGGACGUUAGCUCAGUCGGUAGAGCAGCGGACUUUUAAUCCGUUGGUCGCCAGUUCGAAUCUGGCACGUCCUACCA
rnacentral:tRNA from 1 species